CCGCUUGUAUCAACGAUGACGUCGAUGACCUCAUUCUUGACCUGAAUGUUGAGGGUAAAGCUUCCAACACUUGUCCUUCAUGUGACCUGCCUUCUUAUCAUGAUCACAAUACAUGUUACUUUUAUCCGAGGAAGAGGAGUUACCUUCACUAUUUUUCUUACCGCGCUUUCAGUGCAACUUGGAGAGUCCCUUAACAGAUCC
rnacentral:lncRNA from 1 species